rnacentral:hammerhead_ribozyme from 1 species
CCACUGAUGAAGAGUCCCAAAUUAGGACGAAACAGCCUUCCAGUGC